rnacentral:rRNA from 1 species
UACGUAGGGGGCAAGCGUUGUCCGGAAUCAUUGGGCGUAAAGCGCGUGUAGGCGGCUCGGUAAGUCCGCUCUGAAAGUCCGGGGCUCAACCCCGGGAGGCGGGUGGAUACUGUCGAGCUCGAGUCCGGAAGAGGCGAGUGGAAUUCCUGGUGUAGCGGUGAAAUGCGCAGAUAUCAGGAGGAACACCGAUGGCGAAGGCAGCUCGCUGGGACGUGACUGACGCUGAGACGCGAAAUCGUGGGGAGCUAACAGG